rnacentral:piRNA from 1 species
UGCCACUUAAGGCUGAAAUUGCUGGGACUC